rnacentral:tRNA from 1 species
GAGUAGCUCAGCGGGUAGAGCGGCGCUACCUGCGUGGCGGAGGUCGCGGGUUCGAACCCCGUCUC